CUGGGGUCCCGUUCCACACUGUGGUAGCUUUGUUCUUUUGCUCUUUGCAGUAAAUCUUAACUGCUGCUCACUCUGGGUCUACACUGCUUUUAUGAGCUGUAACACUUACCGCGAAGGUCUGCAGCUUCACUCCUGAAGCCAGCGAGACCACGAGUCCACCGGGAGGAAGAACAACUCCAGACGUGCCGCCUUAAGAGCUGUAACACUCACUGUGAAGGUCCGCAGCUUCACUCCUGAAGCCAGCGAGACCAUGAGUCCACCGUGAGGAAGAACAACUCCAGACGUGCUGCCUUAAGAGCUGUAACACUCACUGUGAAGGUCCGCAGCUUCACUCCUGAGCCAGCGAGACCACGAACCCACCAGAAGGAAGAAACUCCGAACACAUCCGAACAUCAGAAGGAACAAACUCCAGAUGCGCCACCUUAAGAGCUGUAACACUCACCGCGAGGGUCCGCGGCUUCAUUCUUGAAGUCAGUGAGACCAAGAACCCACCAAUUCCAGACUCACUAAGACAUUACUUUUAGCUCAGCAUUUCUUGGAUGCCCAGGCAAAAGUAUGGAUGCAUAAAAUUAGAUAAUCCCUACAGUCUUAUGGAAUGUGGCUUUUGCUGGCCAAGCCUCUCUCGCUUACCACAGUGCAACUUCAAGAAUUAAUAUAUUCAAAAAAGGCCUGGAAUUUCCAAACAACAUUCUUAUUAAGGGGGCAGUGGCAUCCUCAUGCAAGCUGGUCUACUGGUGGCUGCCCCUGUGACCUGCUUCUGAAUGGCCAGGCAGGAAAAGUCUCCCACUGUGUUGCAUUUAAAGAAAAGAAAAAGAUGAAUUAAGUAAAAAGCUCUGCAAACAACUGAGUGUAAUUAUUGGAUAUGUAUAAACUUAUGCAUAUUUUCCUUUUUUUAAUUAUACUUUAAGUUCUAGGGCACAUGUGCACAACGUGCAGGUUAGUUACAUAUGUAUACAUGUGCCAUGUUGGUGUGCUGCAC
rnacentral:lncRNA from 1 species